rnacentral:rRNA from 1 species
UACAGAGGGUGCAAGCGUUAAUCGGAAUUACUGGGCGUAAAGCGUGCGUAGACGGUUAUGUAAGUCGGGUGUGAAAGCCCCGGGCUCAACCUGGGAAUUGCAUUCGAGACUGCAUAGCUAGGGUGCGGAAGAGGGAAGCGGAAUUUCCGGUGUAGCGGUGAAAUGCGUAGAUAUCGGAAGGAACAUCAGUGGCGAAAGCGGCUUCCUGGUCCAGCACCGACGUUCAGGCACGAAAGCGUGGGGAGCAAACAGG